AGAUAUCAAAUUAAAACAAUAAGUUCAUACAACCCCAAGAAUAUAAAAUAAAAUAUAAAACCCGCGUCCCUUUGUUAGGGCUGCAUCCGGCCCUAGAGAGGAAUUUAAGCUUCCAUGCAGUGGAGGACGGCAGCAGCAGCACAGCAGCGGGCUCCCGUCACUUUCUUCUCUUCCUCUUGUGAUUCCCCUAAGAUCGAUUCCUUUCUUUGGGAAAUC
rnacentral:lncRNA from 1 species